UUCGAUCUUUAGUAUCCUUAUCUAUUGCAAUAGGCUUUCCCAUUGUAGAUGCGAUUGACAUUAAGGAUUUUUUGGCGAACAGAUUUGCUGGCAGAACGGGAAAGGAAAUCCAAACCACAGCUUUUGAUGUUUCUUCUCGGGGAUUAAAUCCCAUUGUCCAUGGGAAUGUCCUAAUGAAAAAGUCAUCUCCUUUUGCGUUUAUAUAACCAGUCCUUCUUGAUACCACAUGAGCAUAGUCUUCAAAUAGAUCAAAUCUUACCAGAAUAUGCCGAUAUUCUAGUUGUCCAAUGUAG
rnacentral:lncRNA from 1 species